rnacentral:lncRNA from 1 species
UUUGGAGAAGAAAACAGGAAAAACUGCUAAUGUUUUAUCCAGACUGGAAAAAGGCAUAUAGAAAAGGUGGGUGACUAUGGACGGGCAUGCUGACUCUGAUUUCUGGUAACCCACACAGGUUUGGAGUUCGCGCUAUAAAGAACUGAAAGAAAGUAACAUAAAAUAUCCUCCUUAUUGUGGGAAAGAUAGGCUGGGGCAAACAACAGAUUACUAAGUUAGUCUACAUCAGUGAAGUGAGGUAAUUAAAUACACAUGUGCUGUGGCAUGUGUUGUAGAUGCAUAAGCUGUAGAAAAUGUGAACUAAACCUUGACAAAAGAGGCUUCUGUUGAGGUGGGCUGUGAGCAUAUGCCUCAGCAGUGCCCCUAGCCCAGCUGGUGUGCAUAAAGUCAUUAGCUGUAGUAACUAACUUCACAGCUUCUCCCAGCUGGGUUCAGGUGGCUUUUAGGGUGAAGUGAGACUUUUGCAUGGCCAGGCUACAACCUGCUUUAAAAGCUUUCAAUAUCUGAUGAAGGUAUGCACCAAACUGAUUAAAAAAGCACUCUUAAGGGUGUAUGUAACAGAACAAUUAGUUUCUCUUGGGCUUUACUGGUGUCUUUAGUUCUGCUUGCCUCUCAUACUUCCUGCUGGGCUGGACACAAGUAGAAGAGAGACUUCACUAGCUGGAGACUUGCAGGGGAGUAAAAUGCCUGUAUCUGAAAAGGAAGUACCUGCAGCCUGUAUCCCACUAGGAGACUUUGGAGAGGUGGUUGAACUGCUUUGGACUUCUGGGCAGAUUUAAGCUGAAGAGGAGGUCCUGGCCUACAUUCCAGGCUGGUUGCCAUGUUCUUGUUUCCCACAGUCCCUUGUCUUUUCAAGGGUCAACCACAACGCAGGCAUGCAUCGCAAAGAUCUUGGAAAAACAGAGGUGUGACUGAAGGAGCUGUCCAUCUCAACACAGAUAUGAAAAGAAGCUGAAGGUAUGUUAUGCUGCCAGUUCAAAAAUUUGCUGUUAGCAAAUGCUAUUGAUCAAAAACAGUUUGCCAAAACGUUGAGCAAAUGUAUUAAAGUAGAAGUCAGAUUCUAGAUGAAUGCUAAGAUUAACAAAGACUGUAUCAGCUGUCAAUUACAAAUUAUUCUUUCCUAUCUAGUAUUGGGACUGGCAUAGUGCAAUCUAUCUGCUGAGUUGAGCCUUCUCCAUGUUUUUUUUUUUUUUAAUAAUUAUUUUCUACGUUUUAGUUUAAGGCUGAGAGAAAUUCUUACAUCAUCAAUCCAGUUUUUUGCUCCCACAGAUGGAGCACUGAACUCUCUAAUAUUCAGAACUUAAAAAUAAACAAAAACCCCCCAGAAUCUUGCA